GACGAACGCUGGCGGCAGGCUUAACACAUGCAAGUCGAACGCAUCCUUCGGGGUGAGUGGCAGACGGGUGAGUAACGCGUGGGAACGUGCCCUUCAGUUCGGGAUAACCCAGGGAAACUUGGGCUAAUACCGGAUACGACCCUCGGCGGCAUCGCCAGGGGGUGGGAAGAAUUUCGGGAAAGGAUGGACUCGCUGCCUAUCAGCUAGUUGGUGAGGUAAAGGCUCACCAAGGCGACGACGGGUAGCCGGCCUGAGAGGACGAUCAGCCACACUGGGACUGAGACACGGCCCAGACUCCUACGGGAGGCAGCAGUGGGGAAUCUUGCGCAAUGGGCGAAAGCCUGACGCAGCAACGCCGCGUGCGGGAUGAAGGCCUUCGGGUUGUAAACCGCUUUCAGCAGGGAAGAAAAUGACGGUACCUGCAGAAGAAGCCCCGGCCAACUACGUGCCAGCCGCCGCAGUAA
rnacentral:rRNA from 1 species